CUAUAUUAUAAUUUAAUAUAUUUUUUAAGAGCCAAAGCAUAGAAAUCUACAAAUUUGACAGUUUAUUCAAUGGCUUAAUAUCUUGACAAAGCGAAUUUAGAAAUCUCAACACCAUUUUAAAUAUCUUUGUUUAGAUUGUAGUAGUUUGUAGACGAACACUUUCCGGUACCAAACUGUCAUGAACUUCCGCCGUAAUUGACCUACUUAACUCUAUGUUAACUCUAAAGAUAAAAGAUGUUGAAGCUAUCAAAAUGCUAAUAAGAAACUCAGCUAUAGGAAACAAUUUGAAUAAGCCCUAACCAAAUUUACAUCUAAAAUAUACAAGAUAUGGCUAAUAAUAUUAAUUUUGAUACAGAUGUGAAUUUCUAUGGCACGUGCAAAGAUAAAUAUGUAAACUAUAUACAAGAAUUUGAUGAGCUUAUGACUUGCGUCAUUGCAGAGAUUAGGGAAAUCGCCGGCAACUUGAAGUUAUUUAUAGGCCGAAAGCAUUAGGCGUAAGCUCUAUUUAAAGUGCACUUAAACAACCUUAACAAACAAACUGAUGACAGCAGCGCAUUAAAUGCGAUUUUAAUUAAAUUAGUAACCAAAUCAUAAGUAAUAAGGCCAAACGCACAAAUGGAGGCUGCGAGAUAUC